AAAGUCGUAACAAGGUUUCCGUAGGUGAACCUGCGGAAGGAUCAUUAUCACGUUAUCCACGUAUAAACCAUCGCGAACCGUACCUUCUGUUGGCCCCUCUGUUGUGGGUGAGAGCGAUCGACUGACUGUGGUUUGGGUCGACACAAACUAUACGAGGUCUUUUGCACUUGCUCCCAAUCAGAGACGGUUGAUAGAAAAAUUUUAACCUUUUAAACCCAUCAUUAUAACUUUGUCUAAUCAUUUCAUACUCUGGAAACGGAGAUGAGAUAAAUACGAAACUUAUGAACAACUCUUAGCAACGGAUAUCUUGGUUCUC
rnacentral:misc_RNA from 1 species